GUGUCAGCCGCCGCGGUAAUACGUAGGUGGCAAGCGUUGUCCGGAUUUACUGGGUGUAAAGGGUGCGCAGGCGGGACUGCAAGUUGGAUGUGAAAUACCGAGGCUCAACCUCGGGGCUGCAUCCAAAACUGUGGUUCUUGAGUGAAGUAGAGGUAAGCGGAAUUCCGAGUGUAGCGGUGAAAUGCGUAGAUAUUCGGAGGAACACCAGUGGCGAAGGCGGCUUACUGGGCUUUAACUGACGCUGAGGCACGAAAGCAUGGGGAGCAAACAGGAUUAGAUACCCUGGUAGUCCAUGCCGUAAACGAUGAUUGCUAGGUGUGGGGGGACUGACCCCUUCCGUGCCGGAGUUAACACAAUAAGCAAUCCACCUGGGGAGUACGACCGCAAGGUUGAA
rnacentral:rRNA from 1 species